rnacentral:rRNA from 1 species
GACGAACGCUGGCGGCGUGCUUAACACAUGCAAGUCGAACGGAAAGGCCCUGCUUGCAGGGUACUCGAGUGGCGAACGGGUGAGUAACACGUGGGUGAUCUGCCCUGCACUUCGGGAUAAGCUUGGGAAACUGGGUCUAUACCGGAUAGGAGCCAUCUUUAGUGUGGUGGUUGGAAAGUUUUUUCGGUGUAGGAUGAGCUCGCGGCCUAUCAGCUUGUUGGUGGGGUAAUGGCCUACCAAGGCGGCGACGGGUAGCCGGCCUGAGAGGGUGUACGGCCACAUUGGGACUGAGAUACGGCCCAGACUCCUACGGGAGGCAGCAGUGGGGAAUAUUGCACAAUGGGCGCAAGCCUGAUGCAGCGACGCCGCGUGGGGGAUGAAGGCCUUCGGGUUGUAAACUCCUUUCGCUAGGGACGAAGCUUUUUUGUGACGGUACCUAGAUAAGAAGCACCGGCUAACUACGUG